ensembl:lncRNA
AGAAGGGGAAAAAAGUAGUCAUCUUCUGGGGAACCAACCUGCCAGUAUGAGAAAACAGAUGAGGUACAGAGAGAUUAAAUGACAACCAGCUUUAUACAGCAAGCAAAGGAGGCUUCAGUCUGACAUGCCUUGGCCUGAGUGGUGAUAUUCAUAGAGUUAUCCAGGAGCUGAUUCUCUUCAAGGGUCCUCUUCUUCCCUCAAUCCCCAACCCCCAACUCCAAAGACUGGCAGGGACAGCUGUAGACCCUGAGAAAAGGAAAGUAGAUCCCAGAUCAGAGCCUGUCUCCUUAACCCCUGAGCCGCCAGUCAUUCCCAAUCAGCCUCCCCAAUCCCCAGCUUUACACCAGUUAAGGGAAACUGGCGCCAGGAAAGACCUGGCACAUUGCCACAUGAAGCUGGGCACAGGAGACAGAAGCUUGCUGCAACUUGCCCUUUGGCUUGGCAUUUCCUUUUAGAGAGGACCUGCUUCUUUCUUACUCUUUCCUACUCCUUAACUUCACUGCUGAUCAGGUUAAAGAAAAAAAAAAAAGGAGGGGGGGGCAGGCUAUUAGCUUAGGAUAAUUUACAAUAUAGUUCUCUUCAUGUCGCAGCAUAAUAACAGUGUUCCUAACUCUAACUUCCCUUUCUUGUGGUCCCUUGCUGAAGUCCUGUAUUGGCUCCAUUCAGAAAAAUAGUCUGGACUUUGUUAAUCUGUGUGGAGUCUCCAAAACCACCCAGGAUCCCAGCAAACAGAGGGUUAAUAAUAGCUAGCAUUUAUAUAGUACUAUAAGGUUUUCAGAGCUCUGUAGAUACAUUAUCUUAUUAGAUCCUCACAACUCUGGGAAAUAGAAGUUAUUAUUAUUCCCAUUUUAUAGAUGGGGAAACUGAGAUAGAUACUUACUAGUUAUGUGAUAUUGGGAAACUAAGGCAUGAUUUAAACCAAGAUCUUCCUGACUGUAAUUCUAGCACUGUACUCUUAUGGACUACAUCACCUUGUUUUUCAGUAUUUGUUGAUGGUCACUUGUACUUUCUAACAUUACCCUAGAGAUUGGAUAGGGAUGGACGAGAGUGGGACUCCAUAGUAUAUUUGAUUGAAAUUGCUCUCUUUCAUCUCUCAGAGACGCACUCUCUUACCAAGUUUUAGCAUUAUCUGUGCUUGGUCAGCAAAGACUUCUUUGUUGUUCAAGGAAGGGGUCAAAAUUCUUGCCACAAACCAUGUGAAGUUAGUUAAAUUAUAUAUCUGUCCAUUAGCCAUUCAACCAGGCAGCAUGUCAUAAUGGUAAGAGCCUUGUAGUCAGAAGAACUCUUAUCUUUUCUCUGAUGUUUAUUUCUCAGUUUUUUCAUCUGUAAAGUGGGGAUGAUAACAGUUGUAUUUUUAAUGUCUUUUGGCUUCCCUGGGUGGUUAUGAAAAAAGCACUUUGUAAAGCUUUAGCUACUGAGUUAUUUUUAAAUACACUUAUCAAGCACUUGAUGUUAGAAAGCUCUCAAGUGCAUUGUCUCUUCAUUUAAUCCACCUUGAUGGGAUUGAGUAAAAACAUCAGGUUUUUAGCAAAAACAUCAGCAACAACAGUUGCUCCAGACCAGAUGCUCACUCUAUUGCCUUGGUUCUUGGAGAUCAUUCUCUGCUUUCUUGAUGGGUCACAGAUGUAUGCUUCAAUUCCGGACAAAAACUUCUCUUUCUAUAGCUGCUUAAAUCUGGUCUUUUCCUUUCUUCUUUCCUACUUUCCUUCCUUCCUUCCUUUCUUUCCCUCAUUUCUUCCCUCCCUCCUUCCUUCCCUCUCUCUCUUUCCUUCCUUCUUUUCUUCUUUCCUUCC